AUUGAACGCUGGCGGCAUGCCUUACACAUGCAAGUCGAACGGCAGCACGGGAGCAAUCCUGGUGGCGAGUGGCGAACGGGUGAGUAAUACAUCGGAACGUGUCCUGUAGUGGGGGAUAGCCCGGCGAAAGCCGGAUUAAUACCGCAUACGCUCUACGGAGGAAAGGGGGGGAUCGCAAGACCUCCCGCUACAGGGGCGGCCGAUGGCAGAUUAGCUAGUUGGUGGGGUAAAGGCCUACCAAGGCGACGAUCUGUAGCUGGUCUGAGAGGACGACCAGCCACACUGGGACUGAGACACGGCCCAGACUCCUACGGGAGGCAGCAGUGGGGAAUUUUGGACAAUGGGCGAAAGCCUGAUCCAGCAAUGCCGCGUGUGUGAAGAAGGCCUUCGGGUUGUAAAGCACUUUUGUCCGGAAAGAAAACCUCUGGGUUAAUACCCUGGGGGGAUGACGGUACCGGAAGAAUAAGCACCGGCUAACUACGUGC
rnacentral:rRNA from 1 species